GAUGAACGCUGGCGGCGUGCCUAAUACAUGCAAGUCGAGCGAACAGACGAGGAGCUUGCUCCUCUGACGUUAGCGGCGGACGGGUGAGUAACACGUGGAUAACCUACCUAUAAGACUGGGAUAACUUCGGGAAACCGGAGCUAAUACCGGAUAAUAUAUUGAACCGCAUGGUUCAAUAGUGAAAGACGGUUUUGCUGUCACUUAUAGAUGGAUCCGCGCCGCAUUAGCUAGUUGGUAAGGUAACGGCUUACCAAGGCAACGAUGCAUAGCCGACCUGAGAGGGUGAUCGGCCACACUGGAACUGAGACACGAUCCAGACUCCUACGGGAGGCAGCAGUAGGGAAUCUUCCGCAAUGGGCGAAAGCUUGACGGAGCAACGCCGCGUGAGUGAUGAAGGUCUUCGGAUCGUAAAACUCUGUUAUUAGGGAAGAACAAAUGUGUAAGUAACUAUGCACGUCUUGACGGUACCUAAUCAGAAAGCCACGGCUAACUACGUG
rnacentral:rRNA from 1 species